CCUACGGGCGGCUGCAGUGGGGAAUAUUGGACAAUGGGGGCAACCCUGAUCCAGCCAUGCCGCGUGUGUGAAGAAGGCCCUCGGGUUGUAAAGCACUUUCAGUGAGGAAGAACGCCUGGUGGUUAAUACCCAUCAGGAAAGACAUCACUCACAGAAGAAGCACCGGCUAACUCCGUGCCAGCAGCCGCGGUAAUACGGAGGGUGCGAGCGUUAAUCGGAAUUACUGGGCGUAAAGCGCGCGUAGGUGGCUUGAUAAGCCGGUUGUGAAAGCCCCGGGCUCAACCUGGGAACGGCAUCCGGAACUGUCAAGCUAGAGUGCAGGAGAGGGAGGUAGAAUUCCAGGUGUAGCGGUGAAAUGCGUAGAGAUCGGGAGGAAUACCAGUGGCGAAGGCGGCCUUCUGGACUGACACUGACACUGAGGUGCGAAAGCGUGGGUAGCAAACAGGAUUAGAUACCCUAGUAGUC
rnacentral:rRNA from 1 species